UCCUGACAUUGACAACAAAAACAAUGUGAAAUUAAUCAUCCUCUGUCGGUCGGCCUUCGUCAUUCCCAUCAUCAUUCUGAUAAUCUUUUAUUGCUGGAGGAAAAAGAAGCAUCAUAGAGAAAACCUCGAUUCUGAACAGAGUCCAAACUGUGACCAAGCUGGCGCCAUCUCUUUGAAUGAGAGUCUGUUAGGACCCCCUCCUCUCCCUUUUGAGCCCACUGACAUAGAACUCAACCCCAUAAGCACCUAGGAGGCUCUAUGGGAGACAUUGACUGGAGGUUUAAACUUCUGCUGCCCCUGAGAUGAACCCCGGUUACUGAGCUGACUCCAAGUGGACCCCUUAAAGCUGUGAACCCCUCUAUUCCUGGCUCACCUCAUCCUGACAGGAAGAGAGGGGGAGGGCUUUAUGACAGCCACAAUGAACAAAGGAGCCCCCUUCAUUCUUCCUCUCACUUUACUUAGAAUGACUUGUAUGUUAAUGAUAACUAGUUAAUAUUACAAUCAAAGACUGCCUGCGUUAUGAAUGUAUUCCAAAAUCACCUAUGUUGCUUUUUCAUUUGAAUGCAUGCUUUUUGUCUUAGGAGGGAUUGUCAUUGUUCUCGUGCAUGUCACAUCUUUAUGUUAACCCAUAUAUGUGGUAUAGGGGUUUGAUUUCUGUGAUUAUACUUGGCUACUUUACUCAAGGUUGUGUUUGUCACACAUGGCCCGAUGCAUCGGGUGUUGUGAUUGGCCAGUGCAUGUAAGAGGUGUCCAAGAUUUUUGGAGAAUAACAUGAAACCUGAGUCCUUUGCAAACCAACUCAUGUUUUGCGCUUGUGUCUUUAUCUUUUAAACUUCAGCUUACUCAACCUCUAUUAUUUGACGCUAUAGCUUUACAAUUUGA